rnacentral:rRNA from 1 species
UACGUAGGGUGCGAGCGUUGUCCGGAUUUAUUGGGCGUAAAGGGUGUGCAGGCGGUUUGCCAAGUUCGUGGCGAAAGCCAUCGGCCUAACCGAUGGAGGAUGACGAAAACUGGCAGACUUGAGAGCGAGAGAGGGACAUGGAACUCCGAGUGGAGCGGUGAAAUGCGUAGAGAUUCGGAAGAACACCAAAGGCGAAGGCAGUGUCCUGGCUCGUUUCUGACGCUCAAACACGAAAGCUAGGGGAGCAAACAGG